GUGGAUAUUGGAUAUUGGAUCUACCUCUGUCCAAUUCUUGUCCUAUCCACGAACUGUACAUUUAGUGGAUAGGACAUGAAUUGGACAGAGGUAGAUCCAAUUUCAC